GUUCCUUCCAAAAAUUCAACAAUCCAAUAAGUUCAUUUGUUGCCUUAAGACUGUUUCUUUUGCGGAUAAGUUUGCUAUGGAGAUUGAGAAGAUAAAAAGAAGAGUUGCUGAUAUUGACCGUGUAAGGACAACUUACAACAUCACGGAUACAAGUAACAAUAAUGAUGAUUGCAUUCCAAUGGACCAGAGAAGACGAUUCCUUCAUGCUAAUGAUGAAACAGAGGUCAUCGGUUUGGAUCAUGACUUCAACAAGCUCCAACACAAAUUGCUUCUUCAAGAUUUGCCUUACGGAGUUGUUUCAAUAGUUGGCAUGCCCGGUUUGGGAAAAACUACUCUUGCCAAGAAACUUUA
rnacentral:misc_RNA from 1 species